rnacentral:lncRNA from 1 species
AUCCAUAGGCGUACAACCUUUGUUUACAUUAAAAACCCUAGAGAACAUCUUUGAUUCUAACAUUUGUCUUUCAUACGCAGGUUUUUACUUUGCAACAGAGUGACAUGUCGCCUCUCCCACCUGCGUCCUACCGGUCACUACCUCCGCUAAACAAGAACACCACAUCCGCUUCCUACUCUCACUCUGUCAAAACGAGUUUCAACAUCACCGAACAACCACCAUCUCGAGCUUCACCUCUAUCAACAGCCCAAAUCCGCUCGCUGCUUCAUCUCCUUCCGUCUUCAACCAUUCCAAUCAACUACCUUUUCCGCCUCCUGCCACCCUUACACGCCACUCCUUUCCUUUCUGGAUUAGAUCCAAAAAUACUAACCGGAUCUGCUAGCCAGCAAAAUUAGGGCUUCAAAGGUAUAUAUUAUAGCAUGUGGAGUCCAAAUCAAACGGCUAGAUAGUGUUUUAUCCCAAGACAAACCCUAAGUCAUAAUCUUUACCUUUUCAUUUGCCUUCAUCGUUCCUGAAAAGCAUAGGUUCUUCAACCUCAAUUCUCUAUUCAAGAAGACCAGUUCAUGACCUCAACCUCCGAUUUUGAGAUCUCUUUCUGCCGGUAACCUCUCUAUGAAAUCGGAAAGUGUUGAAGCUUCUACGUGGGUUUUUUUAUGUACAAACGAAUUGAGUGAAAUACUCACACUUCGCCUCAUCCAUGUCGGGAAGUGUUUUGUACUAAUGUUGCACCAUUUUUAAUGCUUUCUCUCACCGUAAUCUUUGCAUUCUACCAGAGUUUUUUAUUCCAAUAUAUGCCUCUUCUUGUGUUUCAGGUUGUUCACUGUCACUCAAGUAUUUAUAAUACUCACUGUGUGUAUGUUUACAAGUGUUUGGGUUUUUUAUAGAUUUAUUGGGAUGCUUUCUUUUAACUGAAACACUGACAUAGGAAAGAAAAGGAACUUGGAUACCAAACCUAAAGCUUAACCAUUCGUUUUUCAUUUUAGUUAUCGUUUUUUUUUUUUUUUUUUUUUUUUUUUUUUUUUUUUUUUUUGUACAAAAUGAGGUGAAGACAGAUCUGGAGGAGACGGAUAUGUGAUUAUUUGAAGGUUUAUUUUAUUUUAUUUUAAUCUUUUCAUCUGUAGGAAUUUUAAAUCAUAACCCAUGAAUUUUUUGUUGAUUGUUUUGUAAUUUUCCAAGUAGUGACAAAACUGUGAAAGAAACCGGUGCUCUCUUUAAGCAAAAUGCAUGUUCAUGGUAUAUAUGAAUUUAAUCUACCCAUAGUCAAUUACAUUAUAAGAAUUUAAACCCUAAUUUUCAGUUUGAUUAUUUUCUAUAUACGCUUAGUUAAUUUUACAUGUCAAAAUCUCACUUUUUUUUUUUGUUUCUUUGCAGCUUUUUGUUGGUGCUGAAGCAGGGAAAGGUGAUGUAAUGAGGAUCAAAUUUGAUUGGUUCUUAGCUGCAACUAGACGACUUUGUUUGCUUAUGUUUGAAAUAAUUAAAUAGUUAAAUAGAUAAUGGUUGGUGAGUUGAUGGAUGAUUUUUGGUAUUAAGUCAAAUGAG